UAGCCAUGACGUGGACAAUAAUUCAAGAGAUCCUUGAAUCUCUCCCAGCAUUGGAAGAAGGUCUCUUCCUCUCUCUGAGAGAAGUUCAUAAUUGCCCUCCUAAGGUG